CUUCACUUCAGCCUGGGUGAAAGAGCGAAAUGCUGUCUCAAAAAAGAGAAAAAAAAGAGAAUGAAUAUGAUACAUUUAUAGUGUUAUAUAAAGAUCACUCUGACUGCUACAUGGAAAAUGUGCUGGGGAGAAACAAGACUGCAGGAAAUAAGAGCAGUGAACAAGCUCUUGCUGUAAUUCAAGUCAGGUGUAGAAGCUGGAGCUGGAGCAGCCAUUCUGAACUAUGUCG
rnacentral:lncRNA from 1 species